rnacentral:rRNA from 1 species
AUUGAACGCUGGCGGCAGGCCUAACACAUGCAAGUCGAACGGUAACAGGAAACAGCUUGCUGUUUCGCUGACGAGUGGCGGACGGGUGAGACAUGUCUGGGAAACUGCCUGAUGGAUGGGGUUAACUACUGGAAACGGUAGCUAAUACCGCAUAACGUCGCAAGACCAAAGAGGGGGAGCUUCGGGCCUCUUGCCAUCGGAUGUGCCCAGAUGGGAUUAGCUAGUAGGUGGGGUAACGGCUCACCUAGGCGACGAUCCCUAGCUGGUCUGAGAGGGUGACCAGCCACACUGGAACUGAGAUACGGUCCAGACUCCUACGGGAGGCAGCAGUGGGGAAUAUUGCACAAUGGGCGAAAGCCUGAUGCAGCCAUGCCGCGUGUAUGAAGAAGGCCUUCGGAUUGUAAAGUACUUUCAGCGGGGAGGAAGGGAGUUAAGUUAAUACCUUUACUCAUUGACGUUACCCACAGAAGAAGCACCGGCUAACUCCGUG